CAGUAGCCACGGUAACACGAGGGGGGCAAGCGUUGUUCGGAAUUAUUGGGCGUAAAGGGUGCGUAGGCGGUUUGGCAAGUUUGGUGUGAAAUCUUCGGGCUCAACUCGAAGUCUGCAUCGAAAACUGCCGGGCUUGAGUAUGGGAGAGGUGAGUGGAAUUUCCGGUGUAGCGGUGAAAUGCGUAGAUAUCGGAAGGAACACCUGUGGCGAAAGCGGCUCACUGGACCAUAACUGACGCUGAUGCACGAAAGCUAGGGGAGCAAACAGGAUUAGAUACCCCUGUAGUCCCUGUCUCUUAUAC
rnacentral:rRNA from 1 species